UACGAAGGGGGCUAGCGUUGUUCGGAAUUACUGGGCGUAAAGCGCACGUAGGCGGAUUGUUAAGUUAGGGGUGAAAUCCCAGGGCUCAACCCUGGAACUGCCUUUAAUACUGGCAAUCUCGAGUCCGAGAGAGGUGAGUGGAAUUCCGAGUGUAGAGGUGAAAUUCGUAGAUAUUCGGAGGAACACCAGUGGCGAAGGCGGACUCACUGGCUCGGUACUGACGCUGAGGUGCGAAAGCGUGGGGAGCGAACGAG
rnacentral:rRNA from 1 species